rnacentral:rRNA from 1 species
CCUUCGGGGGCGAGUACAGCGGCGGACGGGUGAGUAACACGUGAGCGAUCCACCCCGAGGCGGGGGGCAACCCAGGGAAACCUGGGCUAAUACCGCAUACAGCGGCAGGCAUGGAAGCCUGUCGUGAAAGCUGGCCUCUCCAUGGAAGCUAGCGCCUCUGGACGAGCUCGCGGCCUAUCAGCUGGUUGGUGAGGUAACGGCUCACCAAGGCGAUGACGGGUAGCUGGCGUGAGAGCGCGAUCAGCCAUACUGGGACUGAGACACGGCCCAGACUCCUACGGGAGGCAGCAGUGGGGAAUCUUGCGCAAUGGGCGAAAGCCUGACGCAGCGACGCCGCGUGGGGGAGGAAGGCCCUAGGGUUGUAAACCCCUGUCAGGUGGGACGAACCGGGGAUCGGCGAAAGCCGGUUCCUCUGACGGUACCACCAGAGGAAGCUCCGGCUAACUCCGUGCCAGCAGCCGCGGUAAAACGGAGGGAGCAAGCGUUGUUCGGAAUUACUGGGCGUAAAGGGCGCGUAGGCGGCCCUGUAAGUCGCAUGUGAAAGGCCGGGGCUCAACCCCGAGUAUUGCAUGCGAUACUGCAAGGCUAGAGACAGGUAGGGGCGAGCGGAAUUCCCGGUGUAGCGGUGGAAUGCGUAGAUAUCGGGAAGAACACCGGUGGCGAAGGCGGCUCGCUGGGCCUGUUCUGACGCUGAAGCGCGAAAGCGUGGGGAGCGAACAGGAUUAGAUACCCUG